rnacentral:tRNA from 1 species
GGGGCUAUAGCUCAGUUGGUAGAGCGCUUGCAUGGCAUGCAAGAGGUCNNGCAUGGAAGAGGUCAGGAGUUCAAUUCUCCUUAGCUCCA